GGUGCUAUAGUGUAGUGGUUAUCACUCGGGAUUUUGAAGUGACUCAUCACAUUGGUUUCCCGUAACCCAGGUUCGAGCCCUGGUAGCACCU